rnacentral:rRNA from 1 species
GUAGGUGGCAAGCGUUGUCCGGAAUUAUUGGGCGUAAGCGCGCGCAGGCGGUUCUUUAAGUCUGAUGUGAAAGCCCACGGCUCAACCGUGGAGGGUCAUUGGAAACUGGAGGAACUUGAGUACAGAAGAGGAAAGCGGAAUUCCACGUGUAGCGGUGAAAUGCGUAGAGAUGUGGAGGAACACCAGUGGCGAAGGCGGCUUUCUGGUCUGUAACUGACGCUGAGGCGCGAAAGCGUGGGGAGCAAACAGGAUUAGAUACCCUGGUAGUCCACGCCGUAAACGAUGAGUGCUAAGUGCGUAGGGGGUUUCCCGCCCUUAGUGCUGCAGCUAACGCAUUAAGCACUCCGCCUGGGAGUACGGCCGCAAGGCUG